AGCAGCAGCCGCGGUAAUACGUAGGUGGCAAGCGUUGUCCGGAAUUAUUGGGCGUAAAGGGUGCGUAGGCGGCUUGACAAGUCUUGUGUGAAAUCUAUGGGCUCAACCCAUAGUCUGCACGGGAAACUGUCGGGCUUGAGAAUGGGAGAGGUGAGUGGAAUUUCCGGUGUAGCGGUGAAAUGCGUAGAUAUCGGAAGGAACACCUGUGGCGAAAGCGGCUCACUGGACCAUUUCUGACGCUGAUGCACGAAAGCUAGGGGAGCAAACAGGAUUAGAUACCCCAGUAGUCCCUGUCUCUUAUAC
rnacentral:rRNA from 1 species